GGGGAAUAUUGCACAAUGGAGGAAACUCUGAUGCAGCGAUGCCGCGUGAGGGAAGAAGGUUUUAGGAUUGUAAACCUCUGUCUUCAGGGACGAAAAAAGACGGUACCUGAGGAGGAAGCUCCGGCUAACUACGUGCCAGCAGCCGCGGUAAUACGUAGGGAGCGAGCGUUGUCCGGAAUUACUGGGUGUAAAGGGAGCGUAGGCGGGAUCGCAAGUCAGAUGUGAAAACUAUGGGCUUAACCCAUAAACUGCAUUUGAAACUGUGGUCCUUGAGUGAAGUAGAGGUAAGCGGAAUUCCUAGUGUAGCGGUGAAAUGCGUAGAUAUUAGGAGGAACAUCAGUGGCGAAGGCGGCUUACUGGGCUUUAACUGACGCUGAGGCUCGAAAGCGUGGGGAGCAAACAGGAUUAGAUACCCUGGUAGUCCACGCCGUAAACGAUGAUUACUAGGUGUGGGGGGACUGACCCCUUCCGUGCCGCAGCAAACGCAAUAAGUAAUCCACCUGGGGAGUACGACCGCAAGGUUGAAACUCAAAGGAAUUGACGGGGGCCCGCACAAGCAGUGGAGUAUGUGGAUUAAUUCGAAGCAACGCGAAGAACCUUACCAGGUCUUGACAUCGUAUGCAUAGCUCAGAGAUGAGUGAAAUCUCUUCGGAGACAUAUAGACAGGUGGUGCAUGGUUGUCGUCAGCUCGUGUCGUGAGAUGUUGGGUUAAGUCCCGCAACGAGCGCAACCCUUACUGUUAGUUGCUACGCAAGAGCACUCUAGCGAGACUGCCGUUGACAAAACGGAGGAAGGUGGGGACGACGUCAAAUCAUCAUGCCCCUUAUGUCCUGGGCUACACACGUAAUACAAUGGCGGUCAACAGAGGGAUGCGAUACCGCAAGGUGGAGCGAACCCCUAAAAGCCGUCCCAGUUCAGAUUGUGGGCUGCAACCCGCCCACAUGAAGUCGGAAUCGCUAGUAAUCGCAGAUCAGCAUGCUGCGGUGAAUACGUUCCCG
rnacentral:rRNA from 1 species